rnacentral:tRNA from 1 species
GGCACGGUGGCACAGCGGUUAGUGCUGUUACCUCCCAAAAAGGAGGAUCUGGGUUUGAGUCCCGGCUGGCUG